rnacentral:rRNA from 1 species
AACGAACGCUGGCGGCAUGCCUAACACAUGCAAGUCGAACGAGACCUUCGGGUCUAGUGGCGCACGGGUGCGUAACGCGUGGGAACCUGCCCUUAGGUUCGGAAUAACUCCCCGACAGGGGUGCUAAUACCGGAUAAUGUCUUCGGACCAAAGAUUUAUCGCCUUUGGAUGGGCCCGCGUUGGAUUAGCUAGUUGGUAGGGUAAUAGCCUACCAAGGCGACGAUCCAUAGCUGGUCUGAGAGGAUGAUCAGCCACACUGGGACUGAGACACGGCCCAGACUCCUACGGGAGGCAGCAGUGGGGAAUAUUGGACAAUGGGCUGAAUCCUGAUCCAGCUAUGCCGCGUGAGUGAUGAAGGCCUUAGGGUUGUAAAGCUCUUUUACCCGGGAUGAUAAUGACAGUACCGGGAGAAUAAGCUCCGGCUAACUCCGUG